GUGAAUCAUCGAAUCUUUGAACGCAAAUUGCACUCUCUUCGGAGAGUAUGCCUGUUUGAGGGUCAGGAUUAAUAAAAAUCGAUGUGUUUCUUCUUUGUGCCUUUCCGGAGUUUGCGUCAUCUUUAUAUCCUUUAGGCUUUAAGUGGCUUAAAAUUGACCUUUCUUGCGCAUUUUUAGCCGUACAUAAAUUUUUUUUUAUUCGUUUCUUUUUAAUGCCAAAAUC
rnacentral:misc_RNA from 1 species